rnacentral:rRNA from 1 species
UACGGGGGGGGGCAAGCGUUGUUCGGAAUUACUGGGCGUAAAGGGCUCGUAGGUGGCCAACUAAGUCAGACGUGAAAUCCCUCGGCUUAACCGGGGAACUGCGUCUGAUACUGGAUGGCUUGAAUUCGGGAGAGGGAUGCGGAAUUCCAGGUGUAGCGGUGAAAUGCGUAGAUAUCUGGAGGAACACCGGUGGCGAAGGCGGCAUCCUGGACCGAGAUUGACGCUGAGGCGCGAAAGCCAGGGGAGCAAACGGGG